CCCACACCUGACCCCCCCUCUGCCCCACACCUGCCCCACACCCGCCCCCCAUCCCCAGCGGUUUCUUCUCCUGCCUGACCCGCGAGGGCUCCGUCUACGACGAGACCAAGUUCGUGUGGCUGCAGGGCCGGCAGGUGUGGGUCUACGCCCGUCUCUACCGCACCGUCCCCCGCUUCCGCCGCCCCGAGCUGCUGGAGGCGGCGCGCGCCGGGGGGGAGUUCCUGCUGCGCUGCGCCCGCCUGCGCCCCGAAUCCCCCCGCGUGGCCUUCGCCCUCAGCCCCGAGGGGCUCCCGGCCAAGGUGCAGCGCAACCCCUACAGCGAGAUCUUCUGCUCUAUGGGGCUGGACGAGCUGGGGAGGGCCGCCGGGGAGCCCCGCUAUAGGGUGAGACCCACGGCGGGACACCCUGCCCCAUAGCGAGACACCCUGCCCCAUAGCGGGGGGCUCUGCCCCGGAAAAAGGGUCUUUACGCUACGAAAAAGGGAUGUUCUGCUCCAUAAAAGGAAGUUUCUGCCC